rnacentral:rRNA from 1 species
GACGAACGCUGGCGGCGUGCUUAACACAUGCCAGUCGAACGGGCCCGCCCCUGUUUUUGGGGGUGGGUUGAGUGGCGAACGGGUGAGUAUCACGUGAGUAACCUGCCCCCUGCUCCUGGAUAACUGCUUGAAAGGGCGGCUAAUACGGGGUGUGCCGGCUGGUCCGCAUGGGCCUGGUCGGGAUAGUUUCAUCUUCGGGUGUUUCGGUGGGGGAUGGGCUCGCGGCCUAUCAGCUUGUUGGUGGGGUGAUGGCCCACCAAGGCGGUGACGGGUAGCCGGCCUGAGAGGGUGGGCGGCCACACUGGGACUGAGACACGGCCCAGACUCCUGCGGGAGGCAGCAGUGGGGGGUAUUGCACAAUGGGCGGAAGCCUGAUGCAGCGACGUCGCGUGAGGGAUGGAGGCCUUCGGGUUGUGAACCUCUUUCUCCGGUGGUGAAGGCCCUGUCCGUUGCGGCGGGGUUGACGGUAGCCGGGUAUGAAGCGCCGGCUAACUACGUG